rnacentral:rRNA from 1 species
AUUGAACGCUGGCGGCAUGCCUAACACAUGCAAGUCGAACGGCAGCACGGCAGUAGCAAUACUGUGGGUGGCGAGUGGCGGACGGGUGAGGAAUACGUCGGAAUCUGCCCAGUCGUGGGGGAUAACUAGCCGAAAGGUUAGCUAAUACCGCAUACGACCGAGAGGUGAAAGCGGGGGACCGCAAGGCCUCGCGCGAUUGGAUGAGCCGACGUCGGAUUAGCUAGUUGGUGGGGUAAAGGCCCACCAAGGCGACGAUCCGUAGCUGGUCUGAGAGGAUGAUCAGCCACACUGGAACUGAGACACGGUCCAGACUCCUACGGGAGGCAGCAGUGGGGAAUAUUGGACAAUGGGCGCAAGCCUGAUCCAGCAAUGCCGCGUGUGUGAAGAAGGCCUCGGUUGUAAGCACUUUAUCUAGACGAAAGACGUGGAGUUAAUACUACUGACGUG